AAAGACCUUGACAAUCUCCCCCCAAAAAACCCCAAAACUCCUCCAAAAAAACACCAGAACUCCCCCCAAGAAAAUUCCAAAAUUCCCCCAAAAAAAUCCCCCAACCCCCCCAUUGGUCACUCCCAAUGGUCACUCCUGGUGGUCACUGCUCAGUGGUUACUCUCCUCGUUAUUCACUGCCCGGUGGUCACUCCCCAGUGGUCACUCCCCUUGAUGGUCACUCUCCCCGGUGGUCACUACCCAGUGGUCACUGUCCCCAGUGGUCACUCUCCCCAGUAGUCACUCUCCAGUGGUCACUCUCCCCGGUGGUCACUCCCCCUGAUGGUCACUCUCCCGUGGUCACUCUCCCCAGUGGUCACUCCCCCUGAUGGCCACUCCCCAGUGGUCACUCUCCCGUGGUCACUCUCCCGUGGUCACUGUCCCCAGUGGUCACUCUCCCCAGUAGUCACUCUCCAGUGGUCACUGUCCCCAGUGGUCACUCUCCCCAGUAGUCACUCUCCAGUGGUCACUGUCCCCAGUGGUCACUCCCCCUGAUGGUCACUACCCAGUGGUCACUGUCCCCAGUGGUCACUCUCCCCGGUGGUCACUCCCCAGUGGUCACUCCCCCUGAUGGUCACUCCCCAGCGGUCACUCUCCCAUGGUCACUCCCCGGCGGUCACUCCCCAGCGGUCACUCCCCCUGAUGGUCACUCCCCAGUGGUCACUGUCCCCAGUAGUCACUCUCCAGUGGUCACUCUCCCCAGCGGUCACUCUCCCGUGGUCACUCCCCAGCGGUCACUCCCCAGCGGUCACUCUCCCCAGUGGUCACUCCCCAGCGGUCACUCUCCCUUGGUCACUCUCCCCAGCGGUCACUCUCCCGUGGUCACUCCCCAGCGGUCACUCCCCAGCGGUCACUCUCCCGUGGUCACUCCCCAGCGGUCACUCUCCCUUGGUCACUCUCCCGUGGUCACUCUCCCCAGCGGUCACUCUCCCUUGGUCACUCCCCAGCGGUCACUCCCCAGCGGUCACUCUCCCUUUGUCACUCUCCCUUGGUCACUCCCCAGCGGUCACUCCCCAGCGGUCACUCCCCAGUGGUCACUCCCCAGCAGUCACUCUCCCGUGGUCACUCCCCAGCGGUCACUCUCCCGUGGUCACUCCCCAGCGGUCACUCUCCCCGGUGGUCACUCUCCCCAGUGGUCACUCCCCAGCGGUCACUCUCCCUUGGUCACUCUCCCCAGCGGUCACUCUCCCGUGGUCACUCCCCAGCGGUCACUCUCCCGUGGUCACUCUCCCGUGGUCACUCUCCCCAGCGGUCACUCUCCCGUGGUCACUCUCCCGUGGUCACUCCCCAGCGGUCACUCUCCCGUGGUCACUCUCCCCAGCGGUCACUCUCCCGUGGUCACUCUCCCUUGGUCACUCUCCCGUGGUCACUCUCCCCAGCGGUCACUCCCCAGCAGUCACUCCCCCUGAUGGUCACUCUCCCGUGGUCACUCUCCCCAGUGGUCACUCCCCAGCGGUCACUCUCCCUUGGUCACUCUCCCGUGGUCACUCCGGUGGUCACUCACCCGCCCAGCUUGCAGUGUCCGGCGCCGCCGGGCCAGGCGCGCACGUGCCGGGGGUCCGCCAGGAGCCGGACGGGCCCGAAGCCCCCCGGGAAGUACGGCCCGACCGGACAGAGCAGCACGAACAGCAGCGCCCGCCCGGGGGGCGCCACCCCCAGGGUGGGCUGGGCACGGGUCAGGGACCCCCAAAAAUAUCCCCAAAACCCACCCAAAAUACCCCCAAAAACCGCAUCAAAAUCCACCAAAAUACCCCCAAAAAGCCGCCUCAAAAUCCACCAAAAUACCCCCAAAAACCGCCCCAAAAUCCACCAAAACAACCCCAAAAACCGCAUCAAAACCCACCAGAAUAACCCCAAAAACCGCAUCAAAACCCACCAAAAUAUCCCCAAAAAAACCGCCCCAAAAUCCACCAAAAUAACCCCCAAAACCGCCCCAAAAUCCACCAAAAUAACCCCAAAAACUGCCACAAAAUCCACCAAAAUAACCCCAAAAACUGCCUCAAAAUCCACCAAAAUAACCCCAAAAAGCCGCCCCAAAAUCCACCAAAAUAACCCCAAAAAGCCGCCCCAAAAUCCACUAAAAUACCCCCAAAAAACCGCCCCCAAAUCCACCAAAAUAGCUCCAAAAACCUCCCCAAAAUCCCCCAAAACCGCCCCAAAAUCCCCAAAAGCCUCCCCAAAAUCCCCAAAACCCGCCCCAAAAUCCACCAAAGUACCCCCACAAAACCACCCCAAAAUCCACCCAAAUCCCCCUCAAAAUCUCCCAAACCACCCCCAAAAUCCCCCCCCAGGACCCGCCAAAUCCUCCAAAAC
rnacentral:lncRNA from 1 species